rnacentral:rRNA from 1 species
AGCGAACGCUGGCGGCAGGCCUAACACAUGCAAGUCGAACGGAUCCUUCGGGAUUAGUGGCGGACGGGUGAGUAACACGUGGGAACGUGCCCUUUGGUUCGGAACAACUCAGGGAAACUUGAGCUAAUACCGGAUGUGCCCUUCGGGGGAAAGAUUUAUCGCCAUUGGAGCGGCCCGCGUCUGAUUAGCUAGUUGGUGAGGGAAAGGCUCACCAAGGCGACGAUUGGUAGCUGGUCUGAGAGGAUGAUCAGCCACAUUGGGACUGAGACACGGCCCAAACUCCUACGGGAGGCAGCAGUGGGGAAUCUUGCGCAAUGGGCGAAAGCCUGACGCAGCCAUGCCGCGUGAAUGAUGAAGGUCUUAGGAUUGUAAAAUUCUUUCACCGGGGACGAUAAUGACGGUACCCGGAGAAGAAGCCCCGGCUAACUUCGUGCCAGCCGCCGCCGUAAAAC